rnacentral:rRNA from 1 species
GACGAACGCUGGCGGCGUGCCUAAUACAUGCAAGUCGAACGCUUUUUCUUUCACCGGAGCUUGCUCCACCGAAAGAAAAAGAGUGGCGAACGGGUGAGUAACACGUGGGUAACCUGCCCAUCAGAAGGGGAUAACACUUGGAAACAGGUGCUAAUACCGUAUAACACUAUUUUCCGCAUGGAAGAAAGUUGAAAGGCGCUUUUGCGUCACUGAUGUAUGGACCCGCGGUGCAGUAGCUAGUUGGUGAGGUAACGGCUCACCAAGGCAACGAUGCAUAGCCGGCCUGAGAGGGUGAUCGGCCACACUGGGACUGAGACACGGCCCAGACUCCUACGGGAGGCAGCAGUAGGGAAUCUUCGGCAAUGGACGAAAGUCUGACCGAGCAACGCCGCGUGAGUGAAGAAGGUUUUCGGAUCGUAAAACUCUGUUGUUAGAGAAGAACAAGGAUGAGAGUAGAACGUUCAUCCCUUGACGGUAUCUAACCAGAAAGCCACGGCUAACUACGUGCCAGCCGCCGCUGUAA